UCAGUACCCAGGACAGAACUGAGGCCCACUGAAGAAAGGGUGCCCUCCCGGGAGGAGGGAGUACCUGGAGAUUGAGAAGAGAGGCUAGGGAAGAAAGUUUCAGGUUUUACACACAGACUCCUUUGAGCUGGAUCUUAUGAAAUAAAUACACAGAAGAGGUAAAAGGGAUGGAAAAGAAUGCAUUUGCCAGAUCAAAGAUUGCAUACCAUGUACCUGUUCAUCUGCUCUAGCAAUGAUACCACAUCAGGCAAGGCAGCUACAAAAGUCCAAGAAUGCUGAGCUCCUGGCCUCUGAGUGGGGGUCCACCACCUGGAUUGGGAAGUUCUGGAGACUGAAUUUAUGGCACAAAGCACUGACUCCACACUCAGCUCUCAGGGGCAGCAGGUUGGAGCUUCAGAGCGCAGCCCCCACCCGUUCUGCCCAGAAUCCGACACCACCUGCCAAGAUGUGGCCGGAUGGUACACACCAGUCCUGGUACAUGGGGUCACCAUGGUUGGAGACACUUUCCCAAGAAGCUGCCCUGAUCCUAUAACCAGGCCCUUCUCUCUGACAUGAAGAAGCUUACAUGAGGCACAGGGUUUGGUUGGCUGGAGACAUUAUUAUUAUUAUUAUUAUUAUUAUUAUUGUUUAUUUUUGAGAGAGAGAGAGCACGCG